UGGUGACAAUGGCAAGGAGGUCACACCUGUUCCCAUGCCGAACACAGAAGUUAAGCUCCUUAGCGCCGAUGGUAGUUGGAUUUACAUCCCGAUAGAGUAGGACGUUGCCA
rnacentral:rRNA from 1 species